rnacentral:ncRNA from 1 species
UGGUUUCGGGGCAGGGUGAAAUUCCCUAUCGGCGGUGAAGUGUAAAUAUUAAUUCACGCAAAGUCCGCGAGCAGUAAAAUGCUGAUUUGGUGAAAUUCCAAAACCGACGGUUACAGUCCGGAUGAGAGAAA